rnacentral:rRNA from 1 species
CCUACGGGAGGCAGCAGUAGGGAAUCUUCCACAAUGGGCGAAAGCCUGAUGGAGCAACGCCGCGUGGGUGAAGAAGGUCUUCGGAUCGUAAAACCCUGUUGUUAGAGAAGAAAGUGCGUGAGAGUAACUGUUCACGUUUCGACGGUAUCUAACCAGAAAGCCACGGCUAACUACGUGCCAGCAGCCGCGGUAAUACGUAGGUGGCAAGCGUUAUCCGGAUUUAUUGGGCGUAAAGGGAACGCAGGCGGUCUUUUAAGUCUGAUGUGAAAGCCUUCGGCUUAACCGGAGUAGUGCAUUGGAUACUGGGAGGCUUGAGUACAGUAGAGGGGAGUAGAACUCCAUGUGUAGCGGUGAAAUGCGUAGAUAUAUGGAAGAACACCAGUGGCGAAAGCGGCUCUCUGGUCGGUAACUGACGCUGAGGUUCGAAAGCGUGGGGAGCAAACAGGAUUAGAUACCCUGGUAGUC